AUUGAACGCUGGCGGCAGGCUUAACACAUGCAAGUCGAGCGAGCGGCGGACGGGUGCGUAAUGUCUGGGAAACUGCCUGAUGGAGGGGGAUAACUACUGGAAACGGUAGCUAAUACCGCAUACCAUCAGAUGAGCCCAAGUGGGAUUAGGUAGUUGGUGCGGUAAAGGCUCACCAAGCCGACGCUCUCUAGCUGGUCUGAGAGGAUGACCAGCCACACUGGGACGGAGACACGGCCCAGACUCCUACGGGAGGCAGCAGUGGGGAAUAUUGCGCAAUGUGGGCAACCCUGACGCAGCCAAGCCGCGUGAAUGAAGAAGGCCUUCGGGUUGUAAAGUUCUUUCGGUAGCGAGGCGUUAACUACAGAAGAAGCACCGGCUAACUCCGUGCCAGCAGCCGCGGUAAUAC
rnacentral:rRNA from 1 species